UCGUUGGGGCUCUGGCUCCGUCGAGAUAGUACCCUUGCCUUUUUUUAGCGUACCUGUUCGUUUCCUCGGUGGGCUCGCCCGCCAAUGGGGACCUUAACAUAACUCUUGAACUUGUAUCGAUGAUUAGUCUGAUCUAAAAAUCAAAAAUU
rnacentral:misc_RNA from 1 species